UAAAUUGCUUCUUUUUUUUUUUUUAUUAUAUGUGGAAAUACUAAAAGAAGAAAAUGGGGCGUUUGAUCCAAAGAUGUAGAUGGAUUUCUAAUCACAAAUUACAAUCUAUCUAUAUAUGGAGGAAAAACACAUGCAACUACCUACAUCUACAUCUUUGGAUCAACCCAUCAACAAAUCAAUUCUAAAUAAAUUAGUUAUCAUAUAAAUCUCAAAAGAAAAAAAAAAAAAAAUCGUUGUCAAUAUGCUCUUUGAGUGAUUUGACUGCAUGCAAGUAUGAAAAUUCCUAAGGAGCUCAUAUAAAAAUAGUUAAUAAUUUUUUGUAAUUAUGAAAAAUUCUUAAGUAGCUCAUUUAUA
rnacentral:lncRNA from 1 species